UUUUUUUUUUUUUUUUUUUUUUUUUGAGACACAGUCUUGCUCUGUCGCCCAGGCUGGAGUACAGUAGCCCAUCUCGGCUCACUGCAACCUCUGCCUCCCAAGUUUAAGCAAUUCUCCUGCCUCAGCCACCUAAGUAGCUGGGAUUACAGGCACCUGCCACCACACCCGGCUACUUUUUGUGUUUUUAGUAGACACCAAGUUUCACCGUGUUGGCCAGGCUGGUCUCCCAACCUCAAGUGAUCCGCCGGCCUCGGCCUCUCCAAGUGCUGGGGUUACAGGCGUGAGCCACUGAGCCCAGCCCUUUGCAGCAUAAAGUUCUAAUGAGACUUUAGGCCCUCAGUUCUUCCUGGCUGUUUAGGAGGCUCUUGUCUAAACCUCAAUCUUGAUGCGUCGGAGGGAAGAUGCUUCACUUUGCAGUGAACUAACUGUGUGUGUGUGUGUGUGUGUGUGUGUGCGCGCGCGCGCGCCCUCACGUGUGUGUGUGUGUGCUUCACAUGUGUGUGUGUGCCCUCACGUGUGUGUGUGUGCCCUCAAGUGUGAGUGUUUGUGUGUGCCCUCAAGUGUGUGUGUGCAUGCCCUCACGUGUGUGCCCUCACGUGUGUGUGCCCUCACAUGUGAGGGUGUGUGUGUGCCCUCACGUGUAUCUGUGUGUGCCCUCACGUGUGUGUGACGUGUGAGUGUGUGUGUCCUCAAGUGUGAGUGUGUGUGCCCUCAUGUGUGUGUGUGCAACCUCACGUGAGUGUGUGUGCGUGCCCUCAUAUGUGAGUGUGUGUGCGCCCUCACGUGUGUGUGUGCACGUGCCCUCACGUGUAUGUGCCCUCACGUGUGAGUGUGUGUGCCCUCACGUGUGUGUGUGCACCCUCAUGUGUGAGUGUAUAUGUGCACGCCCUCACGUGUGAGUGUGUGUGCCCUCAUGUGUGUGUGUGCACCCUCACGUGAGUGCACACCCUCACAUGUGUGUAUGUGUGCCCUCACGUGUGUGUGUGUGUGCCCUCAUGUGUGUGUGAGAUACUGGUGUUGGGGAAUAGACAAGGAUAACCCAGAGCAAUUGUUACAGUCCCAGGGAUUAAUUUUCACUAUUGAUACUCGAAAAUGAGUCUUCGCUGUUUUUCCACGUCCUCUUUAUUUUUUCAAGAUUUUUAUGAGGUUAUCUAUUAUAUAGUUUUGACCUUAUUAUUAAAAUUUUUAAAAAGUUUUCAAUAGCUUUUGGGGUAUAAGUGGUUUUUGGUUACAUGAAUGAAUUGUCUAGUGGUGAAAUCAGAGAUUUUAGUGCAGUGGUCACCCAAGUAGUGUACAUCGUACCCAAUACGUGGUUUUCAUCUCUCACCUCCUUCCCAUCCUCCCCAUUCUGGGUCUCUGAAGUCCAUUAUUCCACUCUGUCUGCCUCUGUGUACCCAUAGCUUAGCUCCCAUUUUUAGGUGAGAAGGUAGCAUAUUUGGUUUUCCAUUCCCGAGUUACUUCACUUAGAAUAAUGGCCUUCAGCUCCAUCCAAGACAUUAUUUCACUCUUUUGAGGCUGAGUAGCAUGCCAUGGUGUAUAUAUACCACGUUUUCUGUAUCCACUCAUUGAUCGAUGGGUACUUACAUUGGUUCCAUAUCUUCACAAUUGUGCCAUAAUGAACAUACGCAUGCAGAUGGGUUUUUGAUAUAAUGACUUCAUUUCCUUUGGUUAAAUACCCGGUAACGGGACUGCUGGAUCAAAUGGUAGAUCUGCUUGCAGUUGUUUAAGAAACCUCCAUACUGUUUUCCACAGAGCCUGUGCUCACUCACAUUCCCACCAGCUACGUAUGAGCAUUCC
ensembl:lncRNA